UACAGAGGUCCCGAGCGUUGUUCGGAUUCAUUGGGCGUAAAGGGUGCGCAGGCGGCCGGGUGUGUCAGAUGUGAAAUCCCGAGGCUCAACCUCGGAACUGCGUCUGAAACUACUCGGCUAGAGUACUGGAGAGGGUAACGGAAUUCACGGUGUAGCAGUGAAAUGCGUAGAUAUCGUGAGGAACACCAGAGGCGAAGGCGGUUACCUGGACAGUUACUGACGCUCAGGCACGAAAGCAUGGGGAGCAAAAGGG
rnacentral:rRNA from 1 species